CACGGACCAAGGAGUCUGAC
rnacentral:snRNA from 1 species